UGAACUUGUAGCUCAAAGUAGGAAUAAGCGAAAGAGAGAUGAAAGUUUUUAUCGGUGGCCAGAUAUCCAUGAUCAACCAGCUGAUUCAUUUGAUUUUGAACCAGAUUUCAUCCAAACUGUACCCCAAUUCCUGCAAAGUGCUCUUGAAAGUUUUUCUCUCUUAGAAAAAAAGACUGGAC